rnacentral:rRNA from 1 species
UAUCUCUGUAGAGUCUGCAUAUCAAUAAGCGGAGGAAAAGAAACUAACUAGGAUUCCCUCAGUAACGGCGAGUGAAGCGGGAAGAGCUCAAAUUUGAAAUCUCCAAGGUUCUACCUUGACGAAUUGUAGUUUAAAGAAGUGUUUUCUGUUGGAGUUUUGGUAAAAGUUCUUUGGAAUAGGACAUCAUAGAGGGUGAGAAUCCCGUAUUUGACCAUUAUUUCCAGCUUUGUGAUACACUUUCAAAGAGUCGGAUUGUUUGGGAAUGCAGUCCAAAAUGGGUGGUAAAUUUCAUCUAAAGCUAAAUAUUGGCGAGAGACCGAUAGCGAACAAGUACCGUGAGGGAAAGAUGAAAAGAACUUUGAAAAGAGAGUUAAACAGUACGUGAAAUUGUCAAAAGGGAAGCGUUUGACACCAGUGUUGUUUUCUCGAAAAUCAAUUAAAAAAGGCAGGAUUUUGUGUUGUAUUGACUUUAUCAGCUUUCUGCACUCUUUUCUUGUCUUUUUUAAUGCACUUUUCGUUUAACAAGUCAACAUCAAUUUCUUUUGUUGUAAAAGGGUCAUUGGAAGGUGGCUUCCUUUUCGGAGAAAGUGUUUAUAGCCUUUGGCCUCUGCAAUCGGAGAGAUUGAGGUCUGCAGCGUAGAUCCUACGGGGUUAGAUACAUUUGUGCUAAGUUAUAGCCUUUCAUAGACAACUUGUUGACUAUGAUCAGUCAUGUAGCUUACUCGCUUAUGCUAUUUUACCUACGCUUAGGAUGUUGACGAUCAGCUGAGCGCG